CUUCAAAAGGAUUAUGGGUUACACUGCACAAAUUCUUGAGGGGCAUGGGACUCAUUUCAAAGACAAUUCUUACACCUACUUUCUUUAGAAGGCUAGAUUUUAAUGAGGAGGAGACAGAGGCUAGCAAGUAGCAGGAAAUUUGCUGUGGCAGGAAAUUUCCUUCUCAAUAUGAGGACACUUUUUAAGGCUGGCGUGUACAGUGACAUCCCAAAGGAGACAUUGAGUAAAGUGAAAAGAAAAAUGCUGGUGACGUAUUGACUAAGCUUCAUGUGCUGCAUGUCUUCAGCUGUGCUCUCACCCUUCACCAGCGUGCUUGGUGCCCUCACGGCUGAUGCUUGAGAACAGCCUGAAUGGGCUCUGCGGGGGGCUGGUUUCUGUGUGGUGCCAGUGGGAGCCUCAGCAGGAAAGGAAGGGGGAGAGUUGAGGCUUUUACACCUCUGGCUCUCUCCCUGAGGGCUUGUCCAGGGCAGACGGCAUCUCUUACGGGGUCUUGGCUCUAGUCAGAGAGUGCUCCUUCAGACCUGGGGUGGUGACAACUGUUAUUAGCCCAGAGGUACUGCUCUAUACCCUGCCCAUCCUUUAUUCAUUCCUCCUCCAAUUACCCAAUUUGAUCAUGCCAUUUUUUGUUGUUGUUGUUUCUGUUGUUAAGAUUCAGAUAUACCAACAAAGGAAGCUCUUAAUUAGGUUCUCUGUGUCUUGAAAAUUCUAGUGGACAUAUGCCACUCUUUUUGCACCUUCCUUAAAUCCCUCACCCCCAUCCUAACCCCCAACAUGUGAGCUAACUUUCUUGUCUGGGGAUUUCCCUACCUCAUGGCUCUUAGUGAGAGAUGGAGACCAACAACCACAUGGGAGACACAUGCUCAUUUUCCCAGCCUCCCUUGCAGCUAGGCUCAACCAAUCAGAUGGAGCUCGACUCCUGUCAGGCCUUAAGGCAAAGUGGACUUCAGAGAACCCAUUUUGGCUGAGGUGGUGGCAGUGCUGGGAGUUUCCAGAGGGAGCAGCUGAGCCUAGUGUCAGGCUCGGGGUCCCGGGGGUGCAUCUGAAGGAAUGCACACAUCGCGGUGGUGGCAAGUUGGUUCCCUGCAGAGAGUUUCUGUAUUGCUCCUGCUUCUCAUAUUCUGCUCCUGCAAUGCAGGAGAUCCCAGAAGGAAAGAGAAUUAAACUCAGUUUGAGUGGAGGGAUUUUAACGAAGGGACAACCUACAGAGGUGUUGGCAGGGUCUGGAGAAUCAGCAGAAGAUGCUGAGAACCCAGAGAGCGGCAAACCUCCUGUCCUCAGUCUGAAGAUACAGGGGGAGGGAAGAGUCUCACAGGAGGGGGAGCUGGAGCCCAGGAAGGCAGGAGGGGUGCUGGGCAAGAAGUACAGUCUUGGAAGGGGGACGCACCACCCGAGAUUUUACAGAGUCAUUGCUUCAUACCACCUAGACUGA
rnacentral:lncRNA from 1 species